rnacentral:rRNA from 1 species
CCAAUAGUGUAUAUUAAAGUUGUUGCAGUUAAAAAGCUCGUAGUUGAAUUUUGGGUCUGGCCGGGCGGUCCGCCCUCUGGGUGAGCACUGUUCCGACGCCGGGCCUAUCCUUCUGGUGAGUCGGCAUGUCCUUUAUUGGGUGUGUCGGGGAACCAGGACCAUUACCUUGAAAAAAUUAGAGUGUUCAAAGCAGGCGUAUGCUCGGAUACAUUAGCAUGGAAUAAUGAAAUAGGACGCGUGGUGCUAUUUUGUUGGUUUCUAGAACCGCCGUAAUGAUUAAUAGGGAUAGUUGGGUGCAUUAGUAUUCAAUUGUCAGAGGUGAAAUUCUUGGACUUAUUGAAGACUAACUUCUGCGAAAGCAUUUGCCAAGGAUGUUUUCAUUAAUCAAGAACGAAAGUUAGGGGAUCGAAGACGAUCAGAUACCGUCGUAGUCUUAACCAUAAACUAUGCCGACUAGGAAUCGGGCGAUGUUAUUCUCAUGACUCGCCCGGCGCCUUAUG